UGAACGCUGGCGGAAUGCUUUACACAUGCAAGUCGAGCGGCAGCGCGGGGGCAACCCUGGCGGCGAGCGGCGAACGGGUGAGUAAUACAUCGGAACGUGUCCUUAAGUGGGGGAUAGCUCGGCGAAAGCCGGAUUAAUACCGCAUAAGCUCUGAGGAGGAAAGCGGGGGAUUCGCAAGGACCUCGCGCUGUUGGAGCGGCCGAUGUCGGAUUAGCUAGUUGGUGGGGUAAAGGCCCACCAAGGCGACGAUCCGUAGCUGGUCUGAGAGGAUGAUCAGCCACACUGGAACUGAGACACGGUCCAGACUCCUACGGGAGGCAGCAGUGGGGAAUUUUGGACAAUGGGGGCAACCCUGAUCCAGCCAUUCCGCGUGAGUGAAGAAGGCC
rnacentral:rRNA from 1 species